rnacentral:rRNA from 1 species
UGGGGAAUAUUGCACAAUGGGCGAAAGCCUGAUGCAGCAACGCCGCGUGAGUGAUGAAGGCCUUCGGGUUGUAAAGCUCUGUCUUUUGGGACGAUAAUGACGGUACCAAAGGAGGAAGCCACGGCUAACUACGUGCCAGCAGCCGCGGUAAUACGUAGGUGGCAAGCGUUGUCCGGAUUUACUGGGCGUAAAGGAUGCGUAGGCGGAUUUUUAAGUGAGAUGUGAAAAACCCUAAGCUUAACUUGGGGACUGCAUUUCAUACUGGAAAUCUAGAGUGCGGGAGAGGAGAAUGGAAUUCCUAGUGUAGCGGUGAAAUGCGUAGAGAUUAGGAAGAACACCAGUGGCGAAGGCGAUUCUCUGGACCGUAACUGACGCUGAGGCAUGAAAGCGUGGGUAGCAAACAGGAUUAGAUACCCUGGUAGUCCACGCCGUAAACGAUGAGUACUAGGUGUAGGAGGUAUCGACCCCUUCUGUGCCGCAGUUAACACAAUAAGUACUCCGCCUGGGAAGUACGAUCGCAAGAUUAAAAACUU